UCAGUAAAGGGUCUUUGUUGGAGC
rnacentral:piRNA from 1 species